UACGGAGGAUGCGAGCGUUAUCCGGAUCUAUUGGGUUUAAAGGGUGCGCAGGCGGCACGGCAAGCCGGCGGUCAAAUCGCGGGGCUCAACCCCGCCCAGCCGUCGGAACUGCCGGGCUAGAGUGGGCGAGAAGUGCGCGGAAUGCGUGGUGUAGCGGUGAAAUGCAUAGAUAUCACGCAGAACUCCGAUUGCGAAGGCAGCGCACCGGCGCCCUACUGACGCUCAGGCACGAAAGCGUGGGUAUCGAACAGG
rnacentral:rRNA from 1 species